AAAGAAAUCUUCGGAUGGAAAUAUAUAUUUCUUAGCGGCGGACGGGUGAGUAACGCGUGAGGAACCUGCCUUGUACUAGGGGAUAGCCUCGGGAAACCGGGAUUAAUACCCUAUGAUACUUGAGGAUCGCAUGAUUUUCAAGUCAAAGCGAUUAAGCGGUAUAAGAUGGACUCGCGUCCCAUUAGCUAGUUGGUGAGGUAAUAGCUCACCAAGGCGACGAUGGGUAGCCGGCCUGAGAGGGUGAACGGCCACACUGGAACUGAGACACGGUCCAGACUCCUACGGGAGGCAGCAGUGGGGAAUAUUGCACAAUGGAGGGAACUCUGAUGCAGCGACGCCGCGUGAGCGAUGAAGGUUUUCGGAUCGUAAAGCUCUGUCCUAAGGGACGAUAAUGACGGUACCUUAGGAGGAAGCCCCGGCUAACUACGUGCCAGCAGCCGCGGUAAUACGUAGGGGGCGAGCGUUGUCCGGAUUUAUUGGGCGUAAAGGGUGCGUAGGCGGCCUUGUAAGUCAGAUGUGAAAUCUCACGGCUUAACCGUGGUAAGCAUUUGAAACUGUGAGGCUUGAGUACAGGAGAGGAGAGUGGAAUUCCUAGUGUAGCGGUGAAAUGCGUAGAUAUUAGGAGGAAUACCAGUGGCGAAGGCGACUCUCUGGACUGUAACUGACGCUGAGGCACGAAAGCGUGGGGAGCAAACAGGAUUAGAUACCCUGGUAGUCCACG
rnacentral:rRNA from 1 species